rnacentral:lncRNA from 1 species
ACGGAUCUAGCUGCAGAUAUUACAAAAUACAUGUGAGCUUGGUGAAUAGUAUGACGACUGAAUUAUAUAGAGUUUUCUUGUUGUGCUACUUAUGAAUUGCAUUCAUGUAUGUAAAUGCAUAUUGAUUAUUAGUUACCUCCUGGUUCCGGGCCUAUGUGCACAUCCAUGAUGCCUCUCGAUCCUACGCAAUGUCCAAGACAUUGUGAUGCUGCAACAUCCUUGGAAGAAAUAAAGCUGGCAUAGC